rnacentral:rRNA from 1 species
UACGGGGGGGCAAGCGUUGUUCGGAAUUACUGGGCGUAAAGGGCUCGUAGGCGGCCAACUAAGUCAGACGUGAAAUCCCUCGGCUUAACCGGGGAACUGCGUCUGAUACUGGAUGGCUUGAGUUCGGGAGAGGGAUGCGGAAUUCCAGGUGUAGCGGUGAAAUGCGUAGAUAUCUGGAGGAACACCGGUGGCGAAGGCGGCAUCCUGGACCGGCAUUGACGCUGAGGCGCGAAAGCCAGGGGAGCAAAGCGGG